ACUGCUCAGUAACACGUAGUCAACCUAACUCGUGGACGUGGAUAACCUCGGGAAACUGAGAAUAAACCACGAUAGAUCAUAGUGCCUGGAAUGGCUUAUGGUCCAAACAGUUUACUGUCAUGGGAUGGGACUGCGGCCUAUCAGCUUGUUGGUGAGGUAAUGGCCCACCAAGGCGAUUACAGGUACGGGCUCUGAGAGGAGAAGUCCGGAGAUGGGUACUGAGACACGGACCCAGGCCCUAUGGGGCGCAGCAGGCGAGAAACCUUAGCAAUGUGCGAAAGCACGAUUGGGUCAGUCCGAGUGAUUCCUGAUAAAGGAGUCUUUUGCUUGUCCUAAAAGCACAGGUGAAUAAGGGGUGGGCAAGUCUGGUGUCAGCCGCCGCGGUAAUACCAGCACCUCGAGUGGUCAGGACGUUUAUCGGGCCUAAAGCAUCCGUAGCCGGCUCUGCAAGUCUUCGGUUAAAUCCACCUGCUCAACAGAUGGGCCGCUGGAGAUACUACAGAGCUAGGGAGUGGGAGAGGCAGACGGUAUUCAGUGGGUAGGGGUAAAAUCCUCUGAUCCAUUGAGGACCACCAGUGGCGAAGGCGGUCUGCCAGAACACGUUCGACGGUGAGGGAUGAAAGCUGGGGGAGCAAACCGGAUUAGAUACCCGGGUAGUCCCAGCUGUAAACGAUGCAAACUCGGUGAUGCAUUGGCUUAUGGCCAAUGCAGUGCCGCAGGGAAGCCGUUAAGUUUGCCGCCUGGGAAGUACGGACGCAAGUCUGAAACUUAAAGGAAUUGGCGGGGGAG
rnacentral:rRNA from 1 species